AGCCAUGAAUGUAUGAGAAGAUGGUUAGAAAGGAAGGUAACAAACCCUCUAUAUGUAACAAACAUGUGUCACGGGCCAGGUCAUGCUAACAGUCCUCGUACCUGAAGAGCCAGGAUCAUGCACAUGUGCCACAUUAGCACAUAUGCAGCAAAUCACCUCAUUAGUAUUACCAUGUUAUUUUUCCGGCACUUCAUAUUGAUGUCUUCUGAUAUUUUUGAAUCAGGGGAAUGCGAAAGCUUCGAAUAACUUACUGGCCAUUGCAGUUGGAAUAAAACAAAAAGAAAAUGUGAACUAGAUUGUUGAAAAGGGAAGUGGAUCCGUUGAUUCAGAUGUGACAUCUCCAAAGCAAAUCAAUCAAAAAUUGCUAUUGAAACAACUAGCAAUAGACCUAUGUACCAGUGAGCGGAGGAUCCUAUUUCGCACCCAAUAUGUGUUGUCAACCCCAAGUUGUUUCUAGCAGCAAUGAGUAAAUCGACCGUAUUAUCAUACCAGAUUUGCAGCUUCGCCCCAAUUUCUGUGAUGCGUGGUCAAAUUUAGCUAGUGCAUAUAUGAGGAAAGGAAGACUUAAUGAGGCAGCCCAGUGUUGUCGCCAGGCUCUUGCAUUGAACCCUCGCUUGGUUGAUGCUCAUAGCAACCUUGGUAAUCUGAUGAAGGCACAACGCUUAGUACAAGAAGUUAGUCACAAUGGAUUUGAUACAUUAUUUUCAUUGGAUGUUGUUUAAGACUCAAAGUAGAAUUUGAUAACCAUGAUCCAUCACUGGACUGCACUGGGUUGAGCAGUUGUUCUAGUAAUGGUGUAUCUUAAUUGUUCUAAUAAGCUGUUUUGAAACUAUUUCAUGAUUUCCUUUGAUU